ACCGGGGGGGGGGCUUACCAUGCAAGUCGAACGAUGAACCGCUUUCGGGCGGGGAUUAGUGGCGAACGGGUGAGUAACACGUGGGCAAUCUGCCCUGCACUCUGGGACAAGCCCUGGAAACGGGGUCUAAUACCGGAUAUGACUGUCCAUCGCAUGGUGGAUGGUGUAAAGCUCCGGCGGUGCAGGAUGAGCCCGCGGCCUAUCAGCUUGUUGGUGAGGUAGUGGCUCACCAAGGCGACGACGGGUAGCCGGCCUGAGAGGGCGACCGGCCACACUGGGACUGAGACACGGCCCAGACUCCUACGGGAGGCAGCAGUGGGGAAUAUUGCACAAUGGGCGAAAGCCUGAUGCAGCGACGCCGCGUGAGGGAUGACGGCCUUCGGGUUGUAAACCUCUUUCAGCAGGGAAGAAGCGAAAGUGACGGUACCUGCAGAAGAAGCGCCGGCUAACUACGUGCCAGCAGCCGCGGUAAUACGUAGGGCGCAAGCGUUGUCCGGAAUUAUUGGGCGUAAAGAGCUCGUAGGCGGCUUGUCACGUCGGUUGUGAAAGCCCGGGGCUUAACCCCGGGUCUGCAGUCGAUACGGGCAGGCUAGAGUUCGGUAGGGGAGAUCGGAAUUCCUGGUGUAGCGGUGAAAUGCGCAGAUAUCAGGAGGAACACCGGUGGCGAAGGCGGAUCUCUGGGCCGAUACUGACGCUGAGGA
rnacentral:rRNA from 1 species